UUAAAAACACCCCACAAUGGCUUUCUCUUUUUUCCUCUUUUAAACGAUUAUUCCUAAAAUUCUAAAAUCCUAAACUCUUCUGAUUUUACCAAAGACACCUUUAAUAAUAAUAAUGACCAUAAUUAUAAGAGUCCAUUAAAAUUUGAAAUUGCGGCUGAACUGGAAGCAAGCGUGUGAUUCUUUUUCGUUGAUGCAAUGGACUGAAUAUCUGGGCCAACCCUUACUUCUAAAUUCAUAUGUUGAAGCCCUGAUCCCCCAUGUGACUGUGUUUAGAGAUGGGGCCUUUAUGGAAGUAAUUAAGGUUAAAUGAAGUAGUAAGGGUGAGGUCCUGGUCCAGUUGGAUUAAUGCUCCAUGAGAAAAGACAGCUCAGAGCUCUCUUGUCUCUCCGUGUGCUCCCAGAGAAGAGGUCGUGUGAACGCACAGUGAGGAGGAGACCCUACAAGGCCGGAAGACAUCCCUCAGCAGAAAUGGAAUGUGCUGGUACCUUGAUCGUGGGCGUCCAGCCUCCGGAACUGUGAGGAAAUAGAUCUCUUGCUUGAGCCCCCAGCCUGCGGUGUGACGGCAGUCGGGGCAGAUCCAAGUCACAGAGACAUCACUCAAACUUUGGAACAAUGAAGACAAUGUGUGGGCUGUAAUCUGUGGGCCCUGGGCUGUGUGGAUCUGGCAGGGACAGCCACAUGGCCUCUAACCCAGCUGCUGAGUUGACUUCCUUUGGGUUCCUCUCCAAAUCGUGGCAAAAACGUCCCCAGCACCUCGAUGCUACAUGAACCCCAGCACCCAUUCUCCCAGGAGAUGCAGUGUCCCUAGUAAACUCAAGUAUAUCGAAUUUCUAAAAUCAUGCUCUCGCUCCUGGACCGUGAAAGGGAAAAACUUAUCAUCAGUCUGGAUC